GGUACCGUGUAACCACAAAUACAUCGCUAUGAGCACGUGGACCACCGAAAUCGAGUCCCGUGUAACAAACAAAGGAUAUUUCACCUUGCUAUUCGGUCGGAGAAGAGGAAGAAGAAGCCGACUUCGGAAGGAAGAGGUUCGGAUCCACCGAACCUUACAUGGGAGAGGAGGAAGAAGCACCACGAACUCGCUGCACCAACGCCGUGUCCGG
rnacentral:lncRNA from 1 species